rnacentral:snRNA from 1 species
CCCAAUACCCCGCCAUGACGACUUGAAAUAUAGUCGGCAUUGGCAAUUUUUGACAGUCUCUACGGAGACUG